rnacentral:rRNA from 1 species
UACAGAGGUGGCAAGCGUUGUUCGGAAUUACUGGGCGUAAAGGGCGCGUAGGCGGCCUUCUAAGUCAGACGUGAAAUCCCCCGGCUUAACCUGGGAACUGCGUCUGAUACUGGAAGGCUUGAGUGCGGGAGAGGGAUGUGGAAUUCCAGGUGUAGCGGUGAAAUGCGUAGAUAUCUGGAGGAACACCGGUGGCGAAGGCGACAUCCUGGACCGGUAUUGACGCUGAGGCGCGAAAGCCAGGGGAGCAAACGGG